rnacentral:lncRNA from 1 species
GUCCUUGGAGCCUGCAGAUCUGAAAGCGUGUGAGGCUCGACACUCGGCCCUUCCAUGGUUCCCUUUUCCCCCGCAGACACCUGUGAUUCUGGGGCCCAAUCGAAAGCUGACUUUGCACAGUUCAUGGGAAAACCUCUUGAGCCUCCUCCAGGUGACAAAGUCUUAACUUUGACAACAAAAGCAUCAGUUCCCAGCCUGGCCCGUCCCCUCCCUGCUGCCUCACCAGUGUAUGAGGAAAAUCAGAAGGCCUUGGGAGGGACCCUACCUGGCGAUGGCAGUGAGCCCUCAGAAGCCUCUCUCUUGGGACACGAGGGCAGGCUGCCUUCUCCAACCUUCACAUUCAGCCUCUCAGAGAGGAAAGGUCAGAGUGGGACCGUCGUGGGGACCGAGCAAGGCCGUCUAGAGCUGAGUUCAGGGUGCCCAGUGGCCAGGAAUGAGCCUCAGGAAGAGAGUUGGGGGGGCCUCAACAGAGCCCUGCCACGGGGUGGCAACACUGGAGGGGGAGUCAGGGUCCCAGUCUUGGAGCCAGGUCAGGGGAAUAGGAGACACCCUCAGGACCAAACCCCUCCAGGCCCUGCCAGAAAAGGAAGAGGUUUUUCACAACAGCCCUUUCAGAAAAAUGUUGAGAUGCCUCCUGCCCUGCCUGAGGCCCAACAAUGACUAAGUGCCAGAGGAUCUCCUUGCAAGGGCAAGCCCGUGUCAGCCGCCGCCCAGAGCCAGGCAUGGGUCACACACAGCUUGGCGUCGGAUGGCAGGGCUGUUCAGGCGCCAUCGACAGUGACAUCCUUUGUCCGGGUCCUGGGAGAGAAACUGAGGCUUGCCGAGAACUCCUGGCCUCCCAGUCGAAGCAUCACAAAAACCAUUUCAGGCCUGGGAAGCUGGACAUACCUGUUACCACGACGUUCCCUCCUCCCCAGAGCAGAGAAGAACAAUGACAGAUGACAGUCCCCAACAUAUCUCCAGGGACCACAACUGUCUGAAUACAAGGGAGUGGAUCAGAACAGGCAUGGCCACUGGACCUUGCCAUCCAGGCUGCCGCGGUCCCCAGCCAAACCUUGCCAGCCUGUGCUGAGGGUGCCAGCUGCCUCAGCCAAUCCAUUACCCGCCAUGCUGUCUUCAGAUAUGUGUCUCCUGGGAUGAGUAGACUGUGCCUGACACACCUUUCCUCAUAGGAAUGCUUAUGUCCCCAAACAGGGAAGUGGAGGAAGAGAAAACCUUGUUUUUCUCCUGAGUCCAUCCUCUGUGCUAAUGGCGUCUUCCAACCCCAAUUUUCCC